GGUCCAGACUCCUACGGGAGGCAGCAGUGGGGGAUAUUGCACAAUGGGGGAAACCCUGGUGCAGCGACGCCGCGUGUGGGAAGACGGUCCUCUGGAUUGUAAACCACUGUCCCCAGGGACGAAGAUGACGGUACCUGGGGAGGAAGCUCCGGCUAACUACGUGCCAGCAGCCGCGGUAAUACGUAGGGAGCGAGCGUUAUCCGGAUUUACUGGGCGUAAAGGGAGCGCAGGCGGCGCGCCAAGUCUGAUGUGAAACCCCGGGGCUCAACCCCGGGCAUGCAUUGGAAACUGGCGGGCUGGAGUGCCGGAGAGGUAAGCGGAAUUCCUAGUGUAGCGGUGAAAUGCGUAGAUAUUAGGAGGAACACCAGUGGCGAAGGCGGCUUACUGGACGGCAACUGACGCUGAGGCUCGAAAGCGUGGGGAGCAAACAGGAUUAGAUACCCUUGUA
rnacentral:rRNA from 1 species